UUUAAAAAAAUUACAAAGAAAUCAUAAAUUUCCAACAACCACCACUUUCACAACCUAUCAAGCUGCCAACUAUAAAUCAACAUAAUACCACAUUUCUGCCAUCAUUCCCACCAGACUCUACCACCGUAAAUGUGGUUGUUUUGGACAGAUUGGUGACCAAUACUAUGGAGGAGGAUAUUGGGAAGAGUGAGGUGAGGCCGGUGGUGGUGGAGUCCGAUAGGUGUUGUGGCCGAAAGGUAGUGCUAUAUGGAUCUAUAGGUGGUGGCUUGGUGGGGUUAUGAAAGUGGCGGUAGUGGAAAGUUUAGAAUUUAUCUAUAAUGUUUUGAAAGAUUUAGGGCUAUGAUUACAAUUAAUU
rnacentral:lncRNA from 1 species